rnacentral:tRNA from 1 species
GGCCCCGUCGUCUAGCGGUUAGGACACCGGCCUUUCACGCCGGCGGCACGGGUUCGAGUCCCGUCGGGGUCA